AUACGGAGGAUCCGAGCGUUAUCCGGAUUUAUUGGGUUUAAAGGGAGCGUAGGUGGACAGUUAAGUCAGUUGUGAAAGUUUGCGGCUCAACCGUAAAAUUGCAGUUGAUACUGGCUGUCUUGAGUACAGUAGAGGUGGGCGGAAUUCGUGGUGUAGCGGUGAAAUGCUUAGAUAUCACGAAGAACUCCGAUUGCGAAGGCAGCUCACUGGACUGCAACUGACACUGAUGCUCGAAAGUGUGGGUAUCAAACAGGAUUAGAUACCCUGGUAGUCCACACAGUAAACGAUGAAUACUCGCUGUUUGCGAUAUACAGUAAGCGGCCGAGCGAAAGCAUUAAGUAUUCCACCUGGGGAGUACGCCGGCAACGGUGAAACUCAAAGGAAUUGACGGGG
rnacentral:rRNA from 1 species